rnacentral:tRNA from 1 species
GUGUCUGUAACCUAGUGGUAAAAGGCAGCACUCUAGAUGCUGAGGCUGUGGGUUUGAAUCCCACCAGACACA